GACGAACGCUGGCGGCGCGCUUAACACAUGCAAGUCGAACGGAAAGGCCUGCUUUCCCUUGUGGAUUCGGGGUACGCGCGUGGCGAACGGGUGAGUAACACGUGAGUUAUCUGCUCCCAACUUUGGUAGAAACCUGGGAUACUAGGUCUAAUUCCCGCCAGGACUGCGGGGUGGUUUGGGUAGUUGCAGACGAUGUGUUAGCGGUUGGGGAUGAACUCGCUGCUUAUCGGCUUGUUGUUUGAGUAGUGGCCUACGAAGGCGGCGACGGGUAGCCGGCCGGGGAGGGUGGCCGGACACAUUGGGAAUGAUAUACGGCGCAGACGCCUACGGGAGGCAGCAGUGGGGAGUAGUGCACAAUUGGCGGAAGCCUGAGGGAGCAACGCCGGGUGUGGGAUGGUGGCCUCCUGGUGGUAAAGCGGUUUCGCCUGUGUUGAAGGGGGAGUGACGGUAGUGGGUGAAGAAGCACCGGCUAACUACGUG
rnacentral:rRNA from 1 species